rnacentral:rRNA from 1 species
CUAAGUUUGAUGGCGACCGGCGCACGGGUGAGUAACACGUGUCCAACCUGCCGAUGACUCGGGGAUAGCCUUUCGAAAGAAAGAUUAAUACCCGAUGGCAUAGUUCUUCCGCAUGGUAGAACUAUUAAAGAAUUUCGGUCAUCGAUGGGGAUGCGUUCCAUUAGGUUGUUGGCGGGGUAACGGCCCACCAAGCCUUCGAUGGAUAGGGGUUCUGAGAGGAAGGUCCCCCACAUUGGAACUGAGACACGGUCCAAACUCCUACGGGAGGCAGCAUG